rnacentral:misc_RNA from 1 species
GCUCUUUAAUUUUUUGUUUUUGUGACUUGUUACUGAGCAGGUAGCUCAUGUUUGUUACUUGUGUGGUUGGAAUCUCUCUAUUUCUUGUUUAUUUGUUCCUGAGGUUUCUUCCUACAAAUUAGCCGGAGUUAUGACCUUCCGUAGUAUAGCUAUUUCAUGAAAAAGUUACUCGGAAAAUUAUACUUUUAUAGCAUGUGACUUGUUUAUCCUUAGAUAUUACAAUGGUAUCAAUUUCUCAUACACUUCUCAACUUUUCAACAGGUUGUUUGGGUUGGGUUUCA